rnacentral:tRNA from 1 species
GCGUUGGUGGUAUAGUGGUGAGCAUACAGUAGCUGCCUUCCAAGCAGCUGACCCGGGUUUGAUUCCAGGCCAACGCA